rnacentral:rRNA from 1 species
UUGCCUACGGGGGGCAGCAGUGAGGAAUAUUGGUCAAUGGUCGGGAGACUGAACCAGCCAAGCCGCGUGAGGGAGGAAGGUACAGAGUAUCGUAAACCUCUUUUGUCAGGGAACAAGGGCGGGGACGUGUCCCGGCCCGGAGAGUACCCGGAGAAAAAGCAUCGGCUAACUCCGUGCCAGCAGCCGCGGUAAUACGGAGGAUGCGAGCGUUAUCCGGAUUUAUUGGGUUUAAAGGGUGCGUAGGCGGGCUUUUAAGUCAGCGGUAAAAAUUCGGGGCUCAACCCCGGCCGGCCGUUGAAACUGGG